rnacentral:rRNA from 1 species
CAGUAGCCGCGGGAACACCGAGGGUGCAAGCGUUAAUCGGAAUUACUGGGCGUAAAGCGCGCGUAGGUGGUUUGUUAAGUUGAAUGUGAAAUCCCCGGGCUCAACCUGGGAACUGCAUCCAAAACUGGCAAGCUAGAGUAGGGCAGAGGGUGGUGGAAUUUCCUGUGUAGCGGUGAAAUGCGUAGAUAUAGGAAGGAACACCAGUGGCGAAGGCGACCACCUGGGCUCAUACUGACACUGAGGUGCGAAAGCGUGGGGAGCAAACAGGAUUAGAUACCCGCGUAGUCCCUGUCUCUUAUAC